UGGGGAAUAUUGGGCAAUGGGGGCAACCCUGACCCAGCGACGCCGCGUGGAGGAAGAAGUUCUUCGGGACGUAAACUCCUGUUGUGUGGGAAGAAGCGAGUGACGGUACCACACGAGGAAGCCCCGGCAAACUACGUGCCAGCAGCCGCGGUAAUACGUAGGGGGCGAGCGUUGUCCGGAAUCACUGGGCGUAAAGGGCACGCAGGCGGACCGACAGGUCGUUUGUGAAAGGCGGGGGCUCAACCCUCGUUUGCGGACGAAACCGUUUGACUGGAGUACCGGAGAGGGGAGUGGAAUUCCCGGUGUAGCGAUGAAAUGCGUAGAUAUCGGGAGGAACACCAGUGGCGAAGGCGGCUUCCUGGCCGGAUACUGACGCUCAAGUGCGAAAGCUGGGGGAGCGAACG
rnacentral:rRNA from 1 species